GAGGCGAACCGGGGGAACUGAAACAUCUAAGUACCCCGAGGAAAAGAAAUCAACCGAGAUUCCGAAAGUAGCGGCGAGCGAAAUUGGACUAGCCCUUAAGCUUUACACGCGUUAGACGAACGGUCUGGAAAGUCCGACGAUACAGGGUGAUAGUCCCGUAGUUGACGACGUGUGUUCAGUGAAAUCGAGUAGGGCGGGACACGUGAUAUCCUGUCUGAAUAUGGGGGGACCAUCCUCCAAGGCUAAAUACUACUGACUGACCGAUAGUGAACCAGUACCGUGAGGGAAAGGCGAAAAGAACCCCUG
rnacentral:rRNA from 1 species